UACGAAGGGGGCUAGCGUUGUUCGGAUUUACUGGGCGUAAAGCGCACGUAGGCGGAUCGAUCAGUCAGGGGUGAAAUCCCCAGAGCUCAACUCUGGAACUGCCUUUUGAUACUGUCGAUCUGGAGUAUGGAAGAGGUGAGUGGAAUUCCGAGUGUAGAGGUGAAAUUCGUAGAUAUUCGGAGGAACACCAGUGGCGAAGGCGGCUCACUGGUCCAUUACUGACGCUGAGGUGCGAAAGCGUGGGGAGCAAACAGG
rnacentral:rRNA from 1 species